rnacentral:lncRNA from 10 species
UGGAGACCAUGAGGACAGACACUUCUUUUGAAAGAUUUUGCUGUAAAGGUGCCAUCAACACAGGGUCCCAAGAGUUCUCAGCCACAUCAGCUCCAAGAAGAACUUGUUUCAUUGAGGAUUUAGGGGAACUGUCUCAUUGGCGAAGAGAAGUUCUCCUCCCCCUGCCCCGAUGUGACUCGUUAAGGUUUGGGGUGCCCUGGCUCUUGGAGCUUUCAUCUAUGGUCUAAACCUUGAACACCAUAAACAUUAGGUUGGCAGUUCUUGGAGCUUGGGUAACUGCAUGCACAUGCCUUGUUCACACAUGUCCCAGUAUUUUUACUUACUCUGUUGAGGGAGUUUAUUCUUUCCUUUGAAUACAUUUCACUCCCACCUGUAAUAAACUCCCAA